rnacentral:rRNA from 1 species
UACGUAGGGUGCAAGCGUUAUCCGGAAUUAUUGGGCGUAAAGAGCUCGUAGGCGGUUUGUCGCGUCUGCUGUGAAAACUGGAAGCUCAACCUCCAGCCUGCAGUGGGUACGGGCAGACUAGAGUGCGGUAGGGGAGAUUGGAAUUCCUGGUGUAGCGGUGGAAUGCGCAGAUAUCAGGAGGAACACCGAUGGCGAAGGCAGAUCUCUGGGCCGUAACUGACGCUGAGGAGCGAAAGCGUGGGGAGCGAACAGG